UAAUGAUGAAGAAAAGAAUGCUUUGUA
rnacentral:piRNA from 1 species